AGCGUUCUCUUUUAUUCAUUGAACAAGGAUUGGCUGAAGAUGCCUCGGCUGUGCAAGGCACGGGGACAGGCAGCGACCGCAUCUGUGCUCACUGCCCUCGUAGGUGGUGCUCCAGUCCGGUGGAAAAAUCCCCCAAGAGGCAAGUCCAGUUUUGGACGAUGGUGGUGGGGGUGCACAGGUGUGGGGGGACCUUUGCUGGAAACCGCCCACCUUGGCCCAGCAAGAUCACUGAUGCUCGCACGAGCAGACUUCCCUCGGGAGGCCCUGAUAAGGAACGCAGUCCGGCUCUGAAGAUGAACCGGGAGAAUUUGGGAGGGACUGGUAGGACGGGCAGGUGGAAAGGAGACAACAGGCCAGUGAUAGCGGCUGCGCUCUGGUCCUGCUGGAGGAGUCAGUGCCCCGGCCGCCGCAGGACCUGAUGCCGGAUGUCAGAGGCAUCUCGGGGGGUGGUGAUGCUCCCAGCACGGCCUGGGAAGAUGGGAGGCGUGUGGGAGGGCUGUCUCCGUCCUGCUCAGCGCCUGGCACAUAGCAGGUGCGCAUUAAACUGGGUAGAUGGGGUGUGGUCAAGGAGAGUGCGUAUCCAUGGUGACCUGUGUAGCUGCCCAGCCGCCCCCAGGCUGUGGGGGCUGCCGCCGGAGACUGGAAGGUAGGUAUUCUCUUGGCCUUUUUAGGAGCCCCCCCGCAAACCCAUUAUGAGAAACUUCGCUGUUACUAUGGCAAGUUGGCACGUUUGUAAAUUGACUGUUGUUUGCCAACAUAAAGAAAAAUAAUUUAAAUUGAUGUACUAUAGAAAUUUUUCCUUGAAUGGAGUCUUUUAUAGAAAACUCAGGUUUAAAAGAGAGGCAGGAGUUCCUGCUGUGGCUCAGCAGUAAUGAGCCCAACUAGUAUCCACGAGGACAUGGGUUCUAUCCCUGGCCUCACUCAGUGGGUUGGGGAUCCGGCCUUGACAUGAGCUUCCAUGUAGCUCACAGAUGCGGCUCGGAUCUGGCAUUGCUGUGGGUGUGAUGUAAGCUGGCAGCUGCAGCUCCAUCUUGACCCCUAGCCUGGGAACUUCCAUAUGCUGUGGGUGCAGUCCUAAAAAAGACAAAAUAAAAUAAAAUAAAAUAAAAUUAAAUAAAAUAAAAUAAAAUAAAAUAAAAAACUAAGAGACAAAAAUUGGGCCACUUUGGGAGUACUGUGGCUCAGUGGGUUAAGGACCUGAUAUUGUCUCUGUGAGGAUGCAGAUUUGAUCCUUGGCCUCAUCCAGUGGGUUAAGGAUCUGGCAUUGUCACAUGCUGUGGUGUAGACCGGCAGCUGUAGCUCUGAUUCAACCCCUAGCCUGUGAACUUCCAUAUGCUGCAGGUGUAGCCCUAAAAAGAGACAGACAGAGGGAGAGACAGAGGGAAAGACAGACAGAGGGACACGAUGCUUUUAGCCAUACAGCGCUGCCCCGGGUGGGGGCAGGAGUUGUUAGAGGUGGGGGUUGGGGGGCACUUGGAGACCAGGUCAUGAUGGGGGUUCGGGGCCGACCUCCUCCUGGGAGCUUGCACUCUUGUGUCUCCACCUGGAAAGGGCCCAUGCUGUUCCCUGCAGGUUGGAACCUCCUCUUCGAGUCUCAGGGUGCAGAGGUCUCCGCCGAGGUGCUGCUGGUAUUCCGCCGCCGUCCAGGGCCAAGAUGCUGUCUUGGCCGUGCCUCUGCCUCCGGGGUCUCUCCCUCCACUCAGGAGACCCUCAGGGUCUGCAGCAGAGCAGAGUCCGGGGCUCACGUUGGCUUCACCACUUUCUCACGUUGCUUCCCUGAGCCACCGUCCUCCCACCUGCAAAAUGGGGAUGCACCGCGAAGGAGGAACUGGCCGGUGGUCCUCUCUCAGCUGCAAUUGGAGCAGGGUAGCGGAUGGAGGACAAGGGGCUGGCUGGGAGCACUGUUUGGGACCCGCAAGGCCUUCAGGGCAACGUGGGGCACAGGGGGAGGGAGAAGAAGCCUGAGCGUUGUCAGGGGUUUGGAAGACCUGGCUGAAGAGGUUUAAACUCCAAAUCCCAGCACCAAAGAGCUGGUUGUGCAGCCGAACAAAAUGGGAAACAGAGAGGGCAAGCGACUUAGCCAAUGUCACACAGCACUUU
ensembl:lncRNA